CCAUACUAUUCUUUUAUUUAUUUAUUUUUUUAACUAAAAACAGAUUUUUAUGUGAUUUUGAUAAAGGAGGUUACCGGUUGUUACUACAUCAAUGGGACAUUAUUAAAGUAUUAUACAAGACAUUAAUUUUAUUAAUUAGCAAUAAAAUAAUACAUAAACAAUUGUUCAUAUUAAGUUACAUUAAUUAGGCUCAUAUAUUUAUACUCUUUUUCCUCCUCCUAUUCUUUCUUAUUGUUUUACAAAUACUCUUAUUGUUGUUAAUCACCUUGGGGGUGGUUGGGCUGUGAAGGGCCGCUUGCUGCUUGUGUGGUCUGCUGGUACAGUGCUGCCAUGUUGUUGUAAAGCUCCAUAUUCAUCGA
rnacentral:misc_RNA from 1 species